GAUGAACGCUGGCGGCGUGCCUAAUACAUGCAAGUCGAGCGAACAGAUGAGGAGCUUGCUCCUCUGACGUUAGCGGCGGACGGGUGAGUAACACGUGGAUAACCCACCUAUAAGACUGGGAUAACUUCGGGAAACCGGAGCUAAUACCGGAGAAUAUAUUGAACCGCAUGGUUCAUUAGUGAAAGACGGUUUUGCUGUCACUUAUAGAUGGAUCCGCGCCGCAUUAGCUAGUUGGUAAGGUAACGGCUUACCAAGGCAACGAUGCGUAGCCGACCUGAGAGAGUGGUCGGCCACACUGGAGCUGAGACACGGUCCAGACUCCUACGGGAGGCAGCAGUAGGGAAUCUUCCGCAAUGGGCGAAAGCCUGACGGAGCGACGCCACGUGAGUGAUGACGGUCUUCGGAGCGUAAAACUCUGUUAUUAGGGAAGAACAGAUGUGUAAGUAACUAUGCACGUCUUGACGGUAACUAAUCAGAAAGCCACGGCUAACUACGUG
rnacentral:rRNA from 1 species